GGUCUUGUGGCUUAGUAGUUAUUAUGCUGCACUUCUAAUUGCUGAGGUCUUGGGUUCAAUUCCUACCAAAUGCA